rnacentral:tRNA from 1 species
GUUAUAAUAAUUUAAAAAAAAUAAUGGUUUUGUAAACCAAAAUUGAAUUUUUCUUAUAACUU